rnacentral:rRNA from 1 species
GUUUGAUCAUGGCUCAGAUUGAACGCUGGCGGCAGGCCUAACACAUGCAAGUCGAGCGGAAACGAGUUAUCUGAACCUUCGGGGAACGAUAACGGCGUCGAGCGGCGGACGGGUGAGUAAUGCCUAGGAAAUUGCCCUGAUGUGGGGGAUAACCAUUGGAAACGAUGGCUAAUACCGCAUAAUGCCUACGGGCCAAAGAGGGGGACCUUCGGGCCUCUCGCGUCAGGAUAUGCCUAGGUGGGAUUAGCUAGUUGGUGAGGUAAGGGCUCACCAAGGCGACGAUCCCUAGCUGGUCUGAGAGGAUGAUCAGCCACACUGGAACUGAGACACGGUCCAGACUCCUACGGGAGGCAGCAGUGGGGAAUAUUGCACAAUGGGCGCAAGCCUGAUGCAGCCAUGCCGCGUGUGUGAAGAAGGCCUUCGGGUUGUAAAGCACUUUCAGUCGUGAGGAAGGUAGUGUAGUUAAUAGCUGC